rnacentral:rRNA from 1 species
UACGUAGUGCGCAAGCGUUGUCCGGAUUUAUUGGGCGUAAAGAGCUCGUAGGCGGUUUGUCGCGUCUUCCGUGAAAACUGGGGGCUUAACUUCCAGCUUGCGGUGGAUACGGGCUGACUGGAGUGCGGCAGGGGAGACUGGAAUUCCUGGUGUAGCGGUGAAAUGCGCAGAUAUCAGGAGGAACACCGGUGGCGAAGGCGGCGACCUGGGUAGAUACUGACGCUGAGGUGCGAAAGCGUGGGGAGCAAACAGG